rnacentral:lncRNA from 1 species
CCUCUCCGUUUCUCUUCUCCCUUGGGUCCCACACGUCCUCCCUUUUGGGAUGUCCCACUUUCUUCUUCACAUCCAAGUUGUUGGGCGUCCACUUGAUGCUGGUUCAUGGCCUUUGGUAGCAGCACAAGCAAGAAAAAAAAGGUUAGAGAAGAGGAGAAGAAGAUCAAGAAAAGAGAUCAAGUAUUGAUCAUGAUCCAGACCUCGUUCAGAUUCAACAGGCUAAAUUUUUUUAGAGAAAAAAAUUUAAUUUGAAGAGGACUAUUGCAGGCUGAUCCCAAGUGGAUACCUGUUG